UACAGAGGGUGCGAGCGUUAAUCGGAAUUACUGGGCGUAAAGGGCGCGUAGGCGGUUUGAUGGGCGUGAUGUGAAAGCCCUGGGCUUAACCUAGGAAUAGCAGCCGAAACUGCAAGGCUUGAAUGUUGGAGAGGGUGGGGGAAUACCUAGUGGAGAAGUGAAAUUCGUAGAGAUUAGGUGGAACACCAGAGGCGAAGGCGCCUGCCUGGCCAAACAUUGACGCUGAGGCGCGAAAGCGUGGGGAGCAAACAGG
rnacentral:rRNA from 1 species